AAAAGAAACCAACAGGGAUUGCCUUAGUAGCGGCGAGUGAAGCGGCAAAAGCUCAAAUUUGAAAUCUGGCACUUUCAGUGUCCGAGUUGUAAUUUGAAGAAGGUAUCUUUGGGUCUGGCUCUUGUCUAUGUUUCUUGGAACAGAACGUCACAGAGGGUGAGAAUCCCGUGCGAUGAGAUGACCCAGACCUAUGUAAAGUUCCUUCGAAGAGUCGAGUUGUUUGGGAAUGCAGCUCUAAGUGGGUGGUAAAUUCCAUCUAAAGCUAAAUAUUGGCGAGAGACCGAUAGCGAACAAGUACAGUGAUGGAAAGAUGAAAAGAACUUUGAAAAGAGAGUGAAAAAGUACGUGAAAUUGUUGAAAGGGAAGGGCUUGAGAUCAGACUUGGUAUUUUGUAUGUUACUCUCUCGGGGGUGGCCUCUACAGUUUACCGGGCCAGCAUCAGUUUGGGCGGUAGGACAAUUGCAAAGAAAUGUGGCACUGCCUCGGUAGUGUGUUAUAGUCUUUGUCGAUACUGCCAGCCUAGACUGAGGACUGCGGCUUCGGCCUAGGAUGUUGGCAUAAUGAUCUUAAGUCGCCC
rnacentral:rRNA from 1 species